GACGAACGCUGGCGGCGCGCUUAACACAUGCAAGUCGAACGAAGUGGCGAACGGGUGAGUAACGCGUAAUCAACCUGCCCUUCAGAGGGGGACAACAGUUGGAAACGACUGCUAAUACCGCAUACUGAAGGAGGGGCUUGCGUCUGAUUAGCUAGUUGGAGGGGUAACGGCCCACAAAGGCGAUGAUCAGUAUCCGGCCAGAGAGGAGUAGCGGCCGCAUUGUGACGGAGAAGGGGCCGAGACUCCUACGGGAGUCAGCAGUGGGAAAUCUUACGGAAUGGACGAAAGUCGGACGAAGCAACGCCGCGUGAGUGAUGACGGCCUGCGGGUUGUAAAGCUCUGUUAAUCGGUACGCGGUACCGGAAUAGAAAGCCACGGCUAACUACGUGCCAGGAGCCGCGGUAAUAC
rnacentral:rRNA from 1 species